GCGGAGGAAAAGAAACCAACCGGGAUUGCCUUAGUAACGGCGAGUGAAGCGGCACCCGUCCAAAUUUGAAAUCUGGCGUCUUCGACGUCCGAGUUGUAAUUUGAAGAAGGCAACUUUGUAGCUGGUCCUUGUCUAUGUUCCUUGGAACAGGACGUCAUAGAGGGUGAGAAUCCCGUGUGGCGAGGAUCCCAGUUAUUUGUAAAGUGCUUUCGACGAGUCGAGUUGUUUGGGAAUGCAGCUCUAAGUGGGUGGUAAAUUCCAUCUAAAGCUAAAUAUUGGCGAGAGACCGAUAGCGAACAAGUACAGUGAUGGAAAGAUGAAAAGAACUUUGAAAAGAGAGUGAAAAAGUACGUGAGUGUUUUGAAAGGGAAGGGCAUUUGAUCAGACAUGGCGUUUGCUUCGGCUUUCGCUGGGCCAGCAUCAUGGGCCCGGUUGGAUAAAUCCUCGGGAAUGUGGCUCUGCUUCGGUAGAGUGUUAUAGCCCGUGGGAAAUCGAAGAGCUGGGACUGAGGAUUGCGA
rnacentral:rRNA from 1 species